rnacentral:misc_RNA from 1 species
GAUGAAGAACGUAGUGAAAUGCGAUAAGUAAUGUGAAUUGCAGAAUUCAGUGAACCAUCGAAUCUUUGAACGCACAUUGCGCCCGGCAGUAAUCUGCCGGGCAUGCCUGUCCGAGCGUCAUUUCUGUCCUCGAGCGAGUCCAGCAUCUAGGUGCUGGGCCCGCCCGGCGUUGGGGCACUACGGGAAGCCCUGUGCUGUCCCCCGUAGGCCCCGAAAUGAAGUGGCGGUCCUGCCGCGGCGCCCCCUGCGUAGUAUAACAGCUCGCUUCGGGACCCGGUGGAGGCCUGCCGUCAAACCUUACUCUCUAAGUUUGACCUCGGAUCAGGUAGGGUUACCCGCUGAACUUAAGCAUAUCAAUAAGCGGAGGA